rnacentral:lncRNA from 1 species
AUACUUCCAGUUUGCCAAACCAUGGUACGAUCUAUGACCACGGCUGUAUCAACUAUAGUCGUCCUAUCAAAUAUUCUAUAGCCAUGACAGUACUUAGCCAAAGGUGACCCCUAACAGAUACCUCGGAUAGGAUUAGGAGAACAGAUACCUCUCAGAGAUAAAAAGUCUAACAACACACUUUGAUGCAUUAUGCAUGUCAAUACAGAUACAUACUUUUAACCAUUCAUGCUUCAUUCCAUAUUUCUUUUU